CUUUCAGUUACAGUUGUGAGUGUCUUUGAGCAGGUAUCGUCUGAGGCGUGUGACUGCGCUGACUGCACGGGACCAGGAUGAGAACUUUGUGAGCCGGUCACUAAGGCUUGCAUGUUCAACCGUUUCUGUGUUUAGUGUCUGUACCUUUCUUACCUCUGGGUCUCCUACUGUAAGUACAAUGGUCUCUUUUGUUGGAAGCUGUAUUUUCUUUUCCCACAGGAAGUGAGGGCCUGUGAACCAAUUGGAUGAAAGCACUUCAUUUACAAAUGUGCCCCUGGAUGCCAUGUCUGCUGGGUUUUCGCUGAGUGACCUUUGAGUCUGUCCAGAAGAACUCCUCAACAUUGUCAUAGAGCAGUUCAUCUCUUAGCAUGUUACUUACAGCGACUGAUACGGCGGCUGCGGUAAGCUCUAACCUUGGGAUCGUGUUGACCUUUGUUGGAGAGACGCGUGCUUUGCCCAUUAUGAAGGUACAGUUGACAUCUUCCCUUUUGUUUAUGAGUCUGAGAUAAGAACACUGUCCAUAUCCUGUGGUGCUUGCAUCGGAAAAGUGGUGUAUUUCUCUUUUUACCACUUCUCCGAAAUCUGCAGGAACAUAACAUCUGCUGAUUUGCACUUCUUUUAGAUUGUGUAGAUCUCCUUUCCAGCCCUCCCACCGUUGCUUAAGAUGUUCAGGUAGAGGAUCGUCCCAGUCUGUUCCUUGACGACACAUUUCUUGAAGAAUCCCCUUUCCUUUCAGCACAUAGGGAGCAAUGAAGCCAAGGGGGUCGUAUAUUGCUGCGACUGUGGACAAGAUGCCACGUCUGGUUGGUGUUUGUUCCUUUAGUUUGAUGUUGAAUGUAAAGCAAUCAUUCUCCACAUUCCAAUAAAUCCCAAGUGCUCUUUC